GCCAGAUUUGGUGGCAUGUGCCUGUAGUCCCAGCUACUCUUGAGGCUAAAGCCAGAGGAUAGCUUGACCCCAGGAGUUCAAGUGUGCAUACUAAGUUAAGCAUCAAUAUGUUGACUUUCUGGGAGCAGGGGACCACCAGGUUGCCUAAGGUGGGGUGAAUCAGCUCAGGUUGGAAAUGGAGCAGGUCAAAACUCCAGUGCUGAUCAAAACAUAUGCCUCAACAUAACACACAGGU
rnacentral:SRP_RNA from 1 species